GGGCCACAGCACGUUGAAACUCUGUUCUCGUACAAUCAGCGAAGUUAAGCAAAGUCGAUCCUGGUCAGUACCUAGAUGGGUGACCGCUUGGGAAUAACAGGUGCUGUAAG